ACUAAAAGUAAUUCAAACACUGCUCGUUCCCUUUGUGCAUUUUGUCUCACAGUUCUGUUAGAUGUUUCAGUGUGAAUUAUUGUUUCUCUGUCGAGUACAGCACUUUAUUGUAACAUGCUAGUUAGCCAUUCUCAGAUGAGAGCAUAGGAGCAUGCAGGUGGCUUCUCAUGUGGUCCGCUAUCCUUCUCUCUCCCUUGAAGGUGUUCAUGCAGAAGUCCAGUAAAGUGAAGUCGCUGUACUGUUUUAUUUUUAUUUUAAACAGUUCUCGGAGAAUAAAUCCACCCAGCUGGCAAAGUGAGAGCUGACUCCUCUGGUCAUUCGCACAACACAACGCAGAGAACUAGCGGCACUCAGAGUUUAAGGCCAGACUGGCUACACAUGCACAGAUUCAUUCUCAACUGGACAUAAAUGAUGAUCAAAGGGCUGUUUGAUGACGAUUUGGACUCCUCUGGGAGAUGAGGACACACCCACAUCUGUUCCAUACUGCAGCCAUGAAUAGUGUUACAGCUGUGAGUCAGCUUUGGGCCAUCAGAUGCACACACUGGAAAACCAGCACCUGGACUUCAUGCAGGAGAGACAGCCUAAUCCAGCAACUAAUCCAGAAGUUAAUCCCUGAGCAAACAGGAAAGGGAAAUGGUGUUACGAUGUACAAGGUGGACUCAAGCGCUGGACUCGAGGGAUGAUGCAAGAAAAUUUAUUAAAGAACAAUGUCCAAUGAGUGUAUAUACAAAGAUGCGGGGCAGUGCUAUUUACAAGGGGUGCGGGGCAGUGCUGCUAGGUACAAAAGGUGAGGGGGGCAGGGCUCCGGGGAGAAUCCAGGGGAACACGCUCGUCUCUCUCCACACAAUCCAAACACGAACCUACUCGCCCACUCGUCGUUCAGGGAACACCAGGGAAACAGUCCAGGGAGUCUGUACACAAAGAAACGCUUGUUAGAUUCCAAACACACACUGCAGGGGAAAACACUUGCUUAGACGCUCGACUUUCACUGACGCGAUUCUCACAACGAUCCAGCGAAGAACAGCCGUUGCUUCCUGGCUUAAAUAUCAUCCACACUGAUGAGGCACAGGUGUUCCUUCCUCCGAGGGCGUGGGCCAAGGACGUGAACCCAUAAUGAGUUCAGCCCUGGCAAGAGAGAGAGAGAGAACUAGAUAGAAAGAGGGAGAGACAGCUGAUCAGCGAACCUCCAGGCCGUGACAAAUGGAUUUUGAAAUCCAGUUUAUUAAAGUGCAAUUGGAAAAAGGUUUUUGAAAUGCAUUUUAUUAAAUUGGAAUUCAAAAAUGAAUUUACAAAUGCAGAAUUUAUUCUACAAUUCAUUAUUUAAGCACAGAAAUCUUUAUUUCGAUGCGCGUGGCUCUUGUGGUCCUCCAUAUGACUCAGCAGGUGGGGGUAAAUGCAGUUUCUGAGUUUGACUUCGCCUAAGGAAUGCAGAAAUGGCUCCGCUAUGCUCCGGAUGGGGGGUGCAGGAUGCCCGAUAUCCAACCCGAUCCUGGAGUAAACUAAAAGCAAUGAGUUGUAAAUAAGUCAUUUAACAAAAAACGUCUUCAUAGGAUAAUAUAUUUUUCUUGAUGCAAAAAUGUGUAUUGUUAUUUUGUUAAUUACAUAAUGCCCGAUCCUUAAUGUUAUGGGAUAUAAUGAACAUGGUAAGCUGAAAGAAAAUGUCUAACAUAUAUGGUAAUCCUGUUUUUAGAUAAUACACAAUUGUCCUUUUUGCAGGUUUCAGUAUCGAUUGAUUAAUUUGCAGUGGUUUAGUAUUGAAUGAAAUACCUAUUAAGUCCUCUUUAUUUUUGACCAUGAUGUAAUUGUUAUUCCAAUAUUAACCAUGGGUGCAAAUGUUGUGGAAAAUAAACACUAGAAUUCCAAGAUCUUUUCAUUAUUAACUGAGGAUACCAAAGUGAUGUAAAAUCAAUGUCAAAUUAGAAGAUUGAUCCGAUAUCCAACUCUAACAUUGUUUCAAUAUUAAUUGAGGAUGCAAAAGUGAUGUAAAAUCAAUGUCAGAUUUCAGUGUUAAUUGAAUGGAAUUGCCUGAUAUUGAUUUAACAUCAUGUCAAUGUCUUCUUGCUAUCUAUGUAAGUACAGGUCAUUCCACAUGAAUUCAUCCAGUACCUUGCACCUGACCAACAAACAUCUGCCUGAAAAACUUCCAGCGGAAAGUUUAAAACAACAUUUCUUACAAACUCAAAUUGAUCAAACUGUGGUUCAGGCAAUAAAAAAGGAGGGCUUAAAGUCAAAGGUUAAGGUUAGGUUGUCAGACAGAAUGUGAUGUUGGUGUUGGUCUGAUGGAAAAGUAGCUCCUGUUACAGUAACUCAGGGGUGGGCAACUCCAGGCAUCAAGGGCU